CUACCAUGGCCUCUGUGGUUCUCAUGCUUAGUAGCUAUUCCAUCUCUCUUCCAAUGCCAUCGGCACCUCCAUUGUCUAUGCAUUCCAUCAGGGAGAGAGAAACGAAGUCGAAGUCAUCAUCCUUCUCUAAUCAAUCUAAAAGAGAAACCGUCCAAGUCUCUGUCAAUUAGGCUUUGUUUUCUGAACUAGAUCGUCAUUGAAGUUUGAAGAUGGUACUUUGUACUUCCAUAACAUAUUUUCUCUUACAUGGUAAUCAUAAGUAGAUCCAAUUCUGAGGGAUGGCUCGAGAAGUGAAAUAACGAGAUGUAUCCAGCUUGGGUUGCGUUGUGUUCAAGAAGAUACUGCUUAUAGACCAACCAUGGCCUCUGCGGUUCUCAUGCUUAGUAGCUAUUCCAUCUCUCUUCCAAUGCCAUCGGCACCUCCAUUGUCUAUGCAUUCCAUCAGGGAGAGAGAAACGAAGUCGAAGUCAUCAUCCUUCUCUAAUCAAUCUAAAAGAGAAACCGUCCAAGUCUCUGUCAAUUAGGCUUUGGUUUCUGAACUAGAUCGUCAUUGAAGUUUGA
rnacentral:lncRNA from 1 species